AUACUCACAGAAAGGGAAAUUUAGAUCCUCCACCAUGACAUUAACAGCCAUCUUUUGUGAUUUGAACAGGUCCCCAGUGGUACCCUUCCCGUGUCGGACUGCAACUGGAACGCAAUGGGCCUUUUUUGAAGGAUUCUGUUAACAUCCAAAGCCUUGCCGUUUCCUCCAUCAUCACGCUGUAUUUUACAGACCUGGGUCAGCAGGUCGGAUGGACCACACAGGUCACUAUGGACAAGGAAGCAUUACUACAGGACACUUAGAAUGGACAUGCUAUUUCCCAGCUCCUUCUCUGUUGACCAGUGCACUCAGGGUUGAUGUUACUGCCAGAACUGCCCUUGACUUUGAGGAGUCAGCUUCUGGAUCAGCACUGGGAGGUCACACAUCCAUCUCACCAGCUUAAGCUCAUGUGCAUUUCUCUCUCUCCAGGGAAGCAGACAGCCCCUAGCAGCACACACUCUGGGACGUUCUACCCCAUGUGACCAUGAGCUAUGUCUCUUCUUCCCAGUUCUAACAACAAAACCCAAGACCCGACAAGCAGUUGACUUCAGUAGAGUUACAGUAGGUCACAAUGUGUGACCUACUCAUUUCAGCAGAGGUCUGAGGCUUUACCCCAUGGAUUCCCAUGCUGAUUAAUGACCUGCUAGAACAUACUAAUUAAUGCUAGUUGGGGUCCUGCUUCCCCACCAGCCUGUCCCACCACCUCUCAACCGUGCAAUUCCCUUGCAAAGCAAAAUUGUGAGUUGUAGCAAACAGUCUCCUGUUUGCUACAACUAAGUAAUCUGCAUGAACCUUAUUUAUUCUCUCCUUUCCUGGUGGUUUAUGUAGCCUAAGACAGUAACAUAACUAAAGCUUAAUAUCCCAUUAUAAAUAGUGCAGUUAUGGCUCGGCAUCGAUACUGCAGGCAGUGGCAUUUUUUUUUUUAUGAUUUAAUCUGUGCGUGCAGAAAGUUGUCUCCACGAGUUUCUGAAUAUUCAUCUUACCCCAUUCACUUCCAUAUUCUAAAUUGUCUCCAUUCUUAGUGGGAGAAAUCUUCCUAGCCACAUCAUUUCAACAGUCAAGAGAUUUUUUUAUAUUAUAGCUAGUCUAUAUAGCAAUAGAGAAAAAGUUCAUACAAGCUUGUAUUCUGACAAUAGCAAUUAAGAAUGUAUUUGUACACAGGAUGUAUAGUUUUAUUGCCAUUUUUACUGUGCUUAGAGCUUCCAUUUCCCCAUCUGCCUUGAUGCUCUAUCAGAUUUACGCACGCAGUGAGGGAUGCUUCUGAGUGAAAGGGUUGACAUUUAAAUAAAUGAGGCACGGAGUAAAAACGAUUUUUAUCACAUCAGCAAAAUGAUAGUUGAGGUGAAAAAGGGCCAC